CCAAUAGCGUAUAUUAAAGUUGUUGCAGUUAAAAAGCUCGUAGUUGAAUUUCGGGGUCAGUAGGUCGGUCAUGCCACUGGUAUGCACUGGUCUCACUGAUUCCUCCUUCCUGAUGAACCGUAAUGCCAUUAAUUUGGUGUUGCGGGGAGACUGGACUGUUACUUUGAAAAAAUUAGAGUGUUUAAAGCAGGCUAACGCUUGAAUACAUUAGCAUGGAAUAACGGAAUAGGACGUUCGAUCUUAUUUUGUUGGUUUCUAAGAUUGACGUAAUGAUUAAUAGGGAUAGUUGGGGGCAUUAGUAUUCAAUUGUCAGAGGUGAAAUUCUUGGAUUUAUUGAAGACUAACUACUGCGAAAGCAUUUGCCAAGGAUGUUUUCAUUAAUCAAGAACGAAAGUUAGGGGAUCGAAGACGAUCAGAUACCGUCGUAGUCUUAACCAUAAACUAUGCCGACUAGGGAUCGGAUGAUGUUAAUUUUUUAAUGACUCAUUCGGCGCCUUACG
rnacentral:rRNA from 1 species